UUAUGAGGGAAGGCUCUAGACCUCCAAGGCUGCUAAUAUCUUUUAUUAUUUAACAGUAUCUUCUCCAAACUAAUUAUUUAGGAUUUUGUAGAAGCUAUUAUUAAAACUUAACAUCAACUGGGGAUUUUGUGAUUGUUGUGCAUGGUGGAUGCCAUAGAGAAUUUAGAAUCAGCACUCCCAAUGGUGGAAAACUCAUUGAGGGACAAACAGGUGGAAAUAUCAGCCAGAAUUAAUACUUCACUUAUGUCAUUGGACUGCUAAGAAAAUUCAGUUCUCCUCAUGGGAAUCUCUUGAGUACUAAGAAAUAAAAGACAACUACUAUUUCCUAAGGAAAGGGUCAUUUCCACAUUUGAAUUACAGAGGAAGUCUGCCCUGCUAAUGAAACUCUCUUCAUGGGUCCCUCCUUAUCCACCAUCUUCAUGUAGGCUGCUGGCAGAUGGCUUCUCCCUGACUUACAUGG